rnacentral:lncRNA from 1 species
CUAUGUUCUACAUCCUGAGUUUAACUUCUGUCAUGUUGGUAGAUGAUUUUACUCUUUUCAUGUUGGGGCUGGAGGCCACAAGUAUCUUUUGCUCUAAACAAUCAAAAUUUAGUACCACUGAUAGUUUUAUAUUUGGAAAACUAUCUAGUGCGUGCUCUCUCUCUCUCUCUCUCUCUCUCUCUCUCUCUCUAUAUAUAUAUAUAUAUAUAUAUAUAUAUAUAUAUAAUAUAUACACACACACACACAUAUAUAUAUAUAUAGCACUAAAAUAGUUUGAUAAGUAGAUAAAUUCUACUAAACAGUGUGUUUUUAUUAUGAUAAAAGUGCUAGUUAUUUUCAUCAUAGAUAUAAUUAUAUAUCUUUUGUAAAUCUGUCUGUAUAUAACAACUGCCAAUUUCUCUUUACAGAUGAAAAAUAUUAUUUUUUUUGCUAUUUCUAGAACAUGAUAAUUCUUUUUAUUUUGCUUUCAGUUGUGACAGCUAAUUCACCUCUGGCAUUUAAAAAUUUGUCACAGGGCUGGAGUUGUAGCUCAAUGGUAGAGCAUACCUAGCUUGUUUGAGGUACUGGGUUUGAUUCUCAGCACUGCAUAUAAAUAAAUAAAUAAAUGAAUGAAUGAAUAAAAUAGAGGUCUAUCAGCAACUAAAAAUAAACAUAAAAGAUUGUCAAAAAAUUUUAAGAAUGAUAAAGUUCCUGACUCCUUUAGUCUUAUUCCCCCCAAAUAAACUUUAUUAGCAGUUUCUUAUGUUUCCUUCCAGGAAUUUUCUGUGUCUAUGGAAGCAUAUGUAAAGGUGUAUUUGUGUUUAUAAGUUUACAUAUUUAAUGUAUCCUCCUUUGUUUUACAUAUUAGGUUUUACAAUACAUUGAUACCAUAUUUUAUAACAAUGCAUAAUAUAUGUUAGUUGUAGAUAUAGUUAUACAUCUUUUGUAAAUCUGUCUUGCUCCAUGGUAGCUCAUUGUUUGAAUAAAACAUUAUUUAUUCACCUGGCUUUUAAUGAUAAAGAUUGAGGUUGUUUAGAAUUUCCUUGAAAUUGUUAACUUACAUCUGAUGUUAUUCUUGUAACAUAGGUAAAUGUCUUUAAGAGUUUAAAAGCACUGACAAAAUUAUCUUUCAAAAUAGCAGCAGCAAUUUAUAUGUGCUACAACUGUUUUAGAACACUUUCUCCUUCAUAUCUUGGCUGAUGCAUAAAAAUAAAUAGUUUAUGGUAAGUAGAUAAAUUAUACUAAAC